AAUACCCUAUUAUUUUAAAAGAAAUUUAUUAAACCUAAUUAGUAGUAGUUAAGAUCUUGAAAAUUAAAGAAUCUGGCGGUAUUUUAGUCUAUUCAGAGGAAUCUGUCCUAUAAUUGAUAUUCCACGAUUUUUGUUACCUAUUUCUUUAUAAUUUACAUAUCGUCGUAGUUUGAAUAUUUUUAGAAAAUAAUAAUAUUCAUAAAUUAUUUUUAUAAAAAAAAUCAGAUCAAGGUGUAGUUUAUAAGUAGGUUGAGAUGGAUUACAAUAAAAAUAUUUAUUAUGAAUUAAUAAGUGAAAAAUUUUUAUGAAAGUGGAUUUGAUAGUAAUUUUAUUUA
rnacentral:rRNA from 1 species